GCAUUGCCCUUCUCCUAGAACUUGAAAACAAGUCAUUAACAUAGUCAUUUUCUAUAUCUCCUUCGCAAUAAUUUGCAGCAUUUGUGCUCAGAUAAAUGCUAGAUUCUUUAUAUCUCCUUGCUCUCUUUUCUAUUGCCAUGAAUUUAGUUACUUUUGUUAAAUCUUCCAAUCUUAAAAUUGAAGAGGGUUUCACAAAUUUAACCUGGUGAUUAGAUUUGUGCAAAACUUUUGCAGUGAAACUUUUGACUGGAAGACUUUACAGGUUGAAUUCUGAUACAUAUUCCAAACUUACAUAAAACUUAUGGGAUCUGCUCCUGAGUUCAAUAACACAGAAACUGGAAGUUCUCAUCCAAUAAAUAUCACCAACUUAACUCACAAAUCCAAGCCAACAUGAUUGAGAUGUCAACACUGUGGGCAACUUGGCCCUCUAAGGGGUCAAAUUCAGUGAUUUAUUUUGAAUACUAUUCUAGAGUCAAUGUGUCUUUUUGUUUGUUAGUUUUUCAAAUGUUGUUUAAGAAAGCAUUUGUUUAUCCAUUCAGUGGGGGACUAGGUUGGGACAAGAAUAAGGGAAUAAAUACCUCUGUCUGUAGAUUCAUAGAACAGAGGGGAGAAGAAAAUUUUUUACAAAUGCCUUCAUCUACUAAUUUCCCAAAGUAUUUUACAAAAUACUUUGAGUUUGUUACAAUGACAAAGAUUUUGAUGACAAAACAAAAGAAAGAAAGCAGCCCUAUCCCAGCUAACCUCCCUUCACCUUUAUACAUUUAUCUCUGAGGUGUUCAUAUUUAACAAAUGGGGGAAAGUCAAGGAAAAGAGGGUAGGAAAGAAUUUAAUCAAUAGCUACUGCCAAUUUUUCAUUAUUAUGGGAUACUCCCUUCCUAUAAUAGGAAAUCACUCAAGAAAAGUAAGGCCAGCAAAAUGGGGACAUUUACCCAGCCAUCUGCUUAAUAGGAGCAUUUAAUCCAUCAAAGGAGAGAGAUGCAACGCUGGAAAAGCAAAGUCCCAAUCUCUGCCUAUAAAGACUGACCUAUGGGAGCCAAAGUUGCUCCUGGACAAAUAUUUUUUUUAAAUCUUGCAAAAAUCAUUAUCAUCAUUAUUAACAAAAAUAACUUUAUAUUGUUUGAAAACAUCCAAAAAUGGCCCCUACCUAAACACCUUGAAAGCGUCACCUUCCUAUUCCUCAAAAUAACCCAAAGAGGUAGAUGCAGCUCUGGCACGCAUUUUCCCAAUGGAGAAACACAAGCUAUCACUUGUGACAGUGGUGUUUGGUCAUGAGGGGAGUCCAACACCCAUCACCCUCACCCUCAUCCCCACCCCCAAACCCCACCUGUCUGCCUACAAAAUGCACCAUGUUAUGACAGUGAAGCAGUUAGAAGCACAGUCUUUCCGAGUUUGAAUCUGAAAUUCAUUUUUCCAAGCUGAAUAACCUUGGCUAAUUUCCUUCUGUUUGACUCAGUUUUCCUGUAGAUUAAUUGUUGUUAAUAAUUGUACUCACCUCAUAAAGCUACUGUGAAGAUUGUAUGUGUCGAUGCAUAUUAAGCCCAGAGCACUUGUACUCAUAGUGUACAUUCAUUAAUAAAUGUUAACUAGUAUAUUAUGAUUGUUUUCAGUACAUACAUAUUAGCUUACUUUAGUAAAACUCUUCUAUUCUUGUCUGGGCAUUUAGAGAGAUCCUCAAAUAAACCCAUCUUCUUGAAAAAAGUUGGAAUACAACAAAUUAUAGCAAGCAAUAUAACAAGCAGUUUGUUUUUUCAAGCGUUCUCUUUUAUUGCCCCAUUUUAGUGCAGAGGAAACACAUUUUUAAAUUAAGCAACUUCUAUUUUGACUCUCAGUGACCCUGAAAAGACCCUGAUCUGCUCAUCAUUUUGCUGAGGCAUAAACUUGGAAUGAAACAGAAAUUUUCUUAGUGAAAAUAUACAAUGUGCCUAGUCACUUGCCCAGUACCCCUCUCACAGUUCAUUUUUUAUCAACAUAAGUCUCAUCUGAGAGCUGAAGAGAUAGCAUAUGUUCUUAUUAUCUCUACUUUAUUGCAUAGAGAGGAUCAUAUGCAAUAGAGAGGCUUGCAAGUUUCUGAAUGCAAGGAACUAUAUAAUACCUUUGACUUGUUUAAUCUCUAUCCCUUGAAUUAUCUCUUUUGAUGAUGUCCAACAAAACUAUUAUAGAAAUAUCAUCACCCAGUUUCAAGAAAGAAGAAACAGGCUCAUUAACUGAACAACAAUGGCUCAUCCACAUCAACUAUUACAUCUCGGCUACUGUCUCACCUUCUCUACAGAGUAUCCCAAAUUUAACAGGGAAGGACUUAGCCAAUUCAUACAUCAGGCUUACUCCAAUUUUUCUCUUAUCCAUAUGCCUUGCCUUCCAUCCCUAUCUACUUUCUCACUUCCAUUAUGGAUCCACCACGGUGAACAUCUGUUAUUUCUGCCUUCUUCCUCUUCCUUGUAAUAUCAUCAUGGUUUUCCCUUGAAACUAUCCCUUAAUC
ensembl:lncRNA